rnacentral:tRNA from 1 species
GCGGGGCUUAUCCUUUAAUUGCUGGGCGUGAUAACGCACUCGUAACGCGAAGGUCGCAGGUUCGAUUCCUGUCUCCGCACCA